rnacentral:rRNA from 1 species
AACCGUAAAAUUGCAGUUGAUACUGGCAGUCUUGAGUGCAGUAGAGGUGGGCGGAAUUCGUGGUGUAGCGGUGAAAUGCUUAGAUAUCACGAAGAACUCCGAUUGCGAAGGCAGCUCACUGGAGUGUAACUGACGCUGAUGCUCGAAAGUGUGGGUAUCAAACAGGAUUAGAUACCCUGGUAGUCCACACAGUAAACGAUGAAUACUCGCUGUUUGCGAUAUACAGUAAGCGGCCAAGCGAAAGCAUUAAGUAUUCCACCUGGGGAGUACGCCGGCAACGGUGAAACUCAAAGGAAUUGACGGGGGCCCGCACAAGCGGAGGAACAUGUGGUUUAAUUCGAUGAUACGCGAGGAACCUUACCCGGGCUUAAAUUGCAAAUGAAUUAUGGGGAAACCCAUACGCCGCAAGGCAUUUGUGAAGGUGCUGCAUGGUUGUCGUCAGCUCGUGCCGUGAGGUGUCGGCUUAAGUGCCAUAACGAGCGCAACCCUUAUCUUCAGUUACUAACAGGUCAUGCUGAGGACUCUGGAGAGACUGCCGUCGUAAGAUGUGAGGAAGGUGGGGAUGACGUCAAAUCAGCACGGCCCUUACGUCCGGGGCUACACACGUGUUACAAUGGGGGGUACAGAAGGCCGCUACCUGGUGACAGGAUGCCAAUCCCAAAAACCUCUCUCAGUUCGGAUCGAAGUCUGCAACCCGACUUCGUGAAGCUGGAUUCGCUAGUAAUCGCGCAUCAGCCAUGGCGCGGUGAAUACGUUCCCGGGCCUUGUACACACCGCCCGUCAAGCCAUGAAAGCCGGGGGUACCUGAAGUACGUAACCGCAAGGAGCGUCCUAGGGUAAAACUGGUAAU